CGGGAAUUUUGGGCAAUGGGCGAAAGCCUGACCCAGCAACGCCGCGUGAAGGAUGAAAUCCCUCGGGAUGUAAACUUCGCAAGAACGGGAAGAAUAAGUAAGGGUUAAUAUCUCUUACGAUGACGGUACUGUUUGUAAGCUCCGGCUAACUUCGUGCCAGCAGCCGCGGUAAUACGAAGGUGGCAAGCGUUGUUCGGAUUUACUGGGCGUAAAGGGAGCGUAGGUGGUUAGGUAAGCCCUCCGGGAAAUCUUCAGGCUUAACCUGAAAAGGUCGGGGGGGGACUGCCUGGCUAGAGGACGGGAGAGGAGCGCGGAAUUCCCGGUGUAGCGGUGAAAUGCGUAGAGAUCGGGGGGAAGGCCGGUGGCGAAGGCGGCGCUCUGGAACGUUUCUGACACUGAGGCUCGAAAGCGUGGGGAGCAAAC
rnacentral:rRNA from 1 species